rnacentral:rRNA from 1 species
GACGAACGCUGGCGGCGUGCUUAACACAUGCAAGUCGAACGGAAAGGCCCUGCUUUUGUGGGGUGCCCGAGUGGCGAACGGGUGAGUAACACGUGAGUAACCUGACCUUGACUUUGGGAUAACUUCAGGAAACUGGGGCUAAUCCCGUAUAGCAUCCCCUCUGCAGGGGAGGGGGUUGGAAAUUUUCGGCGGUUGGGGUUGGAUUAGCGGCUUAUGGGCUUGUUGGUGGGGUGGUGGCUUACCAAGCCUUGGCCGGUUAGCCGGCCUUAGAGGGUGACCGGCCACAUUGGGACUGAGAUACGGACCAGACUCCUACGGUGGGCAGCAGUGGGGAAUAUUGCCCAAUGGGCGGAAGUCUGAUGCAGCAACGCCGCGUUUGGGAUGACGGCCUUCUGGUUGUAAAACGCUUUCGCCUGUGACGAAGCGUGAGUGACGGUAAUGGGUAAAGAAGCACCGGCUAACUACGUG